UGCAGGGAGGGCUCGGCUCGGCGCUGCUGCGGAGUGGAAGACUGCUGCUCGCCUGCCCUUCUCUGUUGUCUCGGCUCAAAGCGGCACGAUUUGAUAGUCUUACCCGGCUCUCUCCAGCUAAACAGUCUGCAGGACCCUAAAGACGCAGAGGGAAGGAUUUAGAAGAGCGGCUGUGCAAUGGUGAACAGAUUCAUCCCCAGGCACCCAAUCCAUUAUCCUGUCAACAACAGCAGGUCCCUGCCACAGUAGCAGCAACACUGGCCGUAAUGAAAUCAUCAGUAAUCCCAAAACUCAUCUCUUCAUACCAAGGUAAAAGUGCUUAUCUUUUCUUGAACUGUAUGAUAACAUGACAAAACAGUUAAGCAACAGGCGGUGGACCUCAGUGGAAGACACAUGCUCUAGUCUUCAACAGUGAAUUACCUGUAGUAGCUACAUUUCCCUGCAGGUAAUGGAAUUUGACUUAAGAAAAUCAAAGAAAUGGAUAUAUGGAUUUUCAGUGAGUCAUUUUUACACUGUCAAAUGCUAAAACCAUUUGA